GACGAACGCUGGCGGCGUGCUUAACACAUGCAAGUCGAACGGAGUGGCGAACGGGUGAGUAACACGUGGGUGACCUGACCUGCAAUUCGGGAUAAGCCUGGGGAACUGGGUCUAAUACAGGCUCGUGUGGGAUGUGCCCGCGGCCUAUAAGCUUGUUGGUGGGGUAAGGGCCUACCAAGGCGGAGACGGGGAGCCGGGCUGAGAGGGUGGAACGCCAACAUGGGGCUGAGGCACGUCCCAGACUCCUACGGGAGGCAGCAGUGGGGAAGAUUGCACAAUGGGCGGAAGCCUGAUGCAGCGACGGCGCGUGGGGGAUGACGGCCUUCGGGUUGUAAACUCCUUUCACCAUCGACGCGGUAGAUGGAGAAGAAGCACCGGCUAACUACGUGCCAGCAGCCGCGGUAAUAC
rnacentral:rRNA from 1 species